rnacentral:rRNA from 1 species
GUGGGGAAUAUUGCACAAUGGAGGGAACUCUGAUGCAGCAACGCCGCGUGAAGGAAGAAGGUUUUCGGAUCGUAAACUUCUAUCAACAGGGACGAAAAAAAUGACGGUACCUGAAUAAGAAGCCCCGGCUAACUACGUGCCAGCAGCCGCGGUAAUACGUAGGGGGCAAGCGUUAUCCGGAAUUACUGGGUGUAAAGGGAGAGUAGGCGGCAUGACAAGCAAGAUGUGAAAGCCCGGGGCUUAACCGCGGGACUGCAUAAUGAACUGUCAGGCUAGAGUACAGGAGAGGUAAGCGGAAUUCCUAGUGUAGCGGUGAAAUGCGUAGAUAUUAGGAAGAACACCGGUGGCGAAGGCGGCUUACUGGACUGAAACUGACGCUGAGGCUCGAAAGCGUGGGGAGCGAACAGGAUUAGAAACCCGAGUAGUCC